AUUGAACGCUGGCGGCAUGCUUUACACAUGCAAGUCGAACGGCAGCACGGACUUCGGUCUGGUGGCGAGUGGCGAACGGGUGAGUAAUACAUCGGAACGUGCCCAGUUGUGGGGGAUAACUACUCGAAAGAGUAGCUAAUACCGCAUGAGAACUGAGGUUGAAAGCAGGGGAUCGUAAGACCUUGCGCAACCGGAGCGGCCGAUGGCAGAUUAGGUAGUUGGUGGGAUAAAAGCUUACCAAGCCGACGAUCUGUAGCUGGUCUGAGAGGACGACUAGCCACACUGGGACUGAGACACGGCCCAGACUCCUACGGGAGGCAGCAGUGGGGAAUUUUGGACAAUGGGCGAAAGCCUGAUCCAGCAAUGCCGCGUGCAGGAUGAAGGCCUUCGGGUUGUAAACUGCUUUUGUACGGAACGAAAAGCUUCGGGCUAAUACCCUGGAGUCAUGACGGUACCGUAAGAAUAAGCACCGGCUAACUACGUGCCAGCCGCCGCGGUAACAC
rnacentral:rRNA from 1 species